rnacentral:rRNA from 1 species
CAGCAGUCGCCGCGGUGAUACAGAGGGUGCAAGCGUUAAUCGGACUUACUGGGCGUAAAGCGUGCGUAGGUGGCUGUUUAAGUCGGAUGUGAUAGCCCUGGGCUUAACCUGGGAACUGCAUUCGAUACUGGAUAGCUAGGGAUCGGUAGAGGGCAGCGGAAUUCCGGGUGUAGCGGUGAAAUGCGUAGAUAUCCGGAGGAACACCGAUGGCGAAGGCAACUGCCUGGGCCUGAUCUGACACUGAGGCACGAAAGCGUGGGUAGCAAACAGGAUUAGAUACCCCUGUAGUCCCUGUCUCUUAUAC